GAGGGGCACAUAUCAAGAAAUGAGUACAUAUAAAGUGGCAUUUGCCAUUGAUGGCAUUUGCCAUUGAUACAUAACUUCCUUUAGCAAACUAUUUAUGGCUUCUAGCUGAAGCAUACAUUGAUGUGCUCAAGGAAACAAUUGUUGGAAAUACAUGAGCUCCUAUCUAAUGAUGGAUUUCCAGAAGCAAUAUUGGAAAUAUCCUCAACAAACAUAUGAGCUCAUCGUGAAAUGCCUUCCUGGGAGACAGUCAAGAGCAUUAACAACUAUGAAAAUACAUAACUGGAUAAUUCAAUUGACAUGAAUAAAUAAAAGAUUGAUUAGACUAACCCACACUUUAUCAUCAUCAGUGAACACUUCCUCCUCAAGAGUUUUGAUUCAGGAAAUUAAAUUCUACUGAAACAAAAUUGAUUUAGAAACUCAAAGAAGCACAAUAAAAAAAUGGAAGAGAAACCCACCUUUUCUUCUCCUUUGGAGGCAGAAAUCAAAAUUCAGAAACAGGGAAAAGAUUGAAACUUCAGUCAAAAUCAACCAAAAUUUGAAGCUACCAUUGACCAAACCACAAACUAAUUUUUGGAGUAUUUGAAAUUCUCAGUUUCAAAAUAAAAAUCAUAUUCCCAAUAUUGACCUAAACUCUUGGGGGUCUCCACCAUUUACAUCAUUUAGAAGCAUCAGUUCAUAACACUAACGACCUAAACAAGUAUGAAACUGAGAGUAAUUUUGGAAGCAUAGUUCUUGAACGCAAGCAAAUAACCAAAUUGAAUGACAAAUUAUUACCUGAGCAGUAAGAUUUUGGACAAGCAGACGAUGAUCAAACGGC
rnacentral:lncRNA from 1 species